UCUAUGCCGUACCACCCAUAACACACCCAUCUCCUUUGAUCUUGGAAGCUAGGCAGGGUCAGACCUCGUUAGUACUUGGAUGGGAGAAAUGCUACGCUGAAUGUAGAU
rnacentral:rRNA from 1 species